UCCCCGGUGGUCCAGUGGUUAAAACUCUGCACUUCCACAGCAGGGGGCACAGGUUCGAUACCUGGCUGGGGAA